rnacentral:tRNA from 1 species
ACUUUUAAAGGACAGAAGUAAUCCAUUGGUUUUAGGGACCACCCACCU